GCACACGCAUAUGUGUCCAGGUGCCUACGCAGGUGCCUGACCCUGGGCAAGUCGCUCCGUCAUGCGGACCUCAGUUUUCUCAUCUGUCCGACGAAGUCCUGGAUCAAGAAUCUGUCAUUCAGAUUAUUCCAGAGCCCCUGCCCCAGUUCUACUUAUGCCUCCUGGAUGCUGAGCUGACAGGCGUGACAACUAAAAUAAAAACAUUUUUGAGGGCCCCUAGAAAUAUUGUGGCUUCUAGGCACUGCACUGUGCCUCAUGGAGAAGUACGCCCUGCGUGCUGGAAGUGAUGGGCAGUCCUAAGAGUCUUGUCCUGGGAACUCCUCUGGACCCAGCAACCUCUGCUGCCACCUGACCUAGAGCCCAACCCCACUCCUUCAGCCGAGCAGCCCUAAGCCAUGCAAGAUGUGCCUGCUUCCCCUUCACCUUCCGCUAUGAUUGAAAGUUUCCCAAGGCCUCCCCGAAGCCAAGCAGAUGCCGUCAUCAUGCUUCCUGUACAACCUGCAGAACUUAGAGACAGGGUUUCACCAUGUUGGCCAGGAUGUUCUCCAUCUCUUGACCUCGUGAUCUGCCGGCCUCGGCCUCCCAAAGUGAUGGGAUUACAGGUGUGAGCCACCGCGCCCAGCCAAUCUCAGAUAUUUCUUUACGGCAAUGCUAGAAUGGACUAAUACACCAUCUUCUCUUGGCCUCCUCCUCACAUUGUGGCAAGGAGAGAAACUGAGUCCGAGGGAUGUCAACAUGCCAAGUCCAUGGAAAUAUCAGUGGGCUGGAAUUCUAGCUGCCUGAAAGAAGACAUUCCUCACACAAGACCUCACAAUCAUAUCCAUGGAAUUAUAGCACUGGGCUCUCCAGAUGGUGCUACAGGAAGACCUCCAGAAAUUUGACAAUCCUCUAUUCAAGGCCCUACCACAGAGACACACAGGAACGGAACUCAGAAUCACAAACAAAGAAACUUUGAUCCAAGAAAGAAAAUGAUCUUUAAAAAGACCCUCGUUUCAUGCUGGCCGAUGCUGAGAAAAUCUGCUCUGAAGGAUAUUUGGAGACACUGAUUAAAAGAUGGUUGUCCCAGUGGAGGGGGAUUCUUCGUGUUACGUAGAUAGGAAGCACGAUGCAAAAGUGUUGAAGCAGGAGUGUAAAGAAUAAUUAAAACACCUGCCCAAGACCCAAGCAAGGAUAGGAUUUCCCAGACAUUCGUGAGGGAGAAAAUGCCAUGUCCUUUCCUUCUGGUGUCACAUCAGAAUCUGAAGGCUGCUAGAGAAGGGAGAGAAACAUGAAAAUUGUCUUCUCUGGGGAAGUUAGCUGUCAUGUUGUGAGGAUACUCAAGCAGUUUAUAAAGAGGUUCAUGUCGCAAGGAAUGGAGGCCUCCUGCCAACAGCCAUGUAAAGGAGCCAUCUAGGAAAUAGAUUCUCCAGCCCCAGUCAGACCUUCAGAUGAUUACAGCCCCUACCAACCUUCUGACUGCGGUGGAAGGAAGGUUCCGGAACCAGAACCACCCAGGUUAAUGUGGGUAAGUCUCAUCCAAUCCUUUGAAGGCCUGAAGAACAAAGAGUGAGGUUUCUGGAAGAAGAAAAUUUUACCUCAAGCCUGCAAUGUAGAAAUUCUGCUUGAGUUUCCCGCCUGCUGGCCUGCCCUGUGGAAUUCGGAGUCAAGAAGGAGUCUUGUAAGCAUUAACUGAGAUAGUAUAUGAAGAGUGCUUUUGCACCGAGUGAACCUUCAAUCAACUGUACUAGUUUGUAUGCCUGGAAGAGCUGCUAUAUGGGAUCAGAAAGAAAAAUAAGUGGAAUUGUGCGAGUGGAAAUGAUUGAUCUACAGCUAGGAGAAGCAGCAGAGCUCAAUCUCAAAAACAUAACGUUGUGUGGAAAAAGCUAACCUCAGAACACUUUGCGGCUCUAUCUUAGCAAACCAGGAGAGAAAUUCUCCUGAUGGCCUUGAAGAAGCAAACAGCCACCUGGUUAAGCCCCUGUGGAUAGUGCCAAGUGGCAGGAAAGUGGGAGCCACCUCUAGGACCUGAGGAUUAAAGUCAGUAAGAGCUGGGACCUCACUCAUGCAGACUCGAGGACAUGAAUUCGACCAACAACUUGAAUGAGCUUGGAAGUGGAUUCUUCCCUAGUCCAGUCUUCAGAAAUUAAGAAUGUUCCCAAAGAAUGAUGGAGACAUUUCAAAAGGAUACGGAAGCCAGAUUGUGGGCGCUUCUACUGGCCAACUCUGGGACAUCGUGGACAUCAAAAUAAAUUUGUAAUAAUAAAGGAUUAUAGCCUAUUAGUUAAAUCAGAAAAAUCUGAUUUAACUAAAUGAGUAGGAGGAAAAGAAAGCUCUUCCUUAUAUUAGAAAGUCAAUUAAUAAAUGCAGAAAGGAAUGAAAAAAUUAGAAAAGCCACCAUUUGGCAACCAUGGCAGGCAGAAUGGGGAGUAUGCCUCCAGACAGUAAUUCCUUUCAAACUGGUUUAUAGGAACUCACUGAGCUUGCUGAUCGACCUCUGAGAGGCAAAGUUUCUGAAUUAUGAAGUACUGAUUAUAUAAACUUAGACAGAGACAUGCUUCAUUAUUUAAUAGGACUGUGUCAAAAGCCUACUAUUAGGAUGAUGUGUUGGGUGUGGAACAGGGUCUCUUCCUGCCAGGAACACUGGUGAUUUCACUCCGUGUUCAGGCUGAUCUUUGAAGUUGAAGACAAGCAGAAGAAUCCUUCUAAAAUUUAGCCAUGCCCAUAGGCUGGGAGGGACACUGCUCCAUUCAGAGGCAGCAAAGCACAUUACUGUAUCUCCUAUAGAGCUUUGAGCAGUCCAGUGUACAUGGAGAAACUUAGUAAAUGUUGUUGAAUUAGUGAAUGAACAAAUCAAUGGACCAAGUCAGGGGUAAGUCUUACAUUUGUCAUCUAGGUGAUUAAGAAAGGAAAAAGUAUCUGUUUCAAGAGGAUUACAAUCUAACUGUACUCCAAUAGUAAAAUUUACUCUUUUGGAAUCUGAAGACA
rnacentral:lncRNA from 1 species